UUGCUGCAGCAAGCCUCCAGCUCGUGGUCUCUCAGAGACAGUUGCUGUAGGAGAGAGUCUGUGCGUGUGUUUCUCAUUUCUGUGUGUUUCUCAUUUCUCAUUCCCCUCAGCCAGGAGAACCACAAAGAUAUUGUCAUCUGUGUAGAAGCCAGUUUCGAUAUCUGGUGUCUACCCCUUGCCCUGCUGGCAGGGCAUUGAGCGGCACCCGUUGCCGGCCACCUGGGUGUGGAGAUUGAAGAGGGUGAAGAGAGGAGCAACCCUGAGCAUCUGCCAUCCUGCUCCAUCUGAUCUAGAAUAAGAUGGAGCGAAUCAGGCAGAUGCUCAGGAGGAAGGCCGGGCAGGUGGCUCCACAGCCAGAAGACGACAUCAGGCAGCCUGCCCAGGCGGAGAGCGGCCCCUCUGUCCCCGCGGGCGGGGAAGAGGCUCGUGGCCAGGGGAAAGGGAGGAGCUGCUUCUCCUGCUGGAGGAGGCG